rnacentral:rRNA from 1 species
CAGCCGCCACGGUAAUACGUAGGUGGCAAGCGUUGUCCGGAUUUAUUGGGCGUAAAGCGAGCGCAGGCGGUUUCUUAAGUCUGAUGUGAAAGCCCCCGGCUCAACCGGGGAGGGUCAUUGGAAACUGGGAGACUUGAGUGCAGAAGAGGAGAGUGGAAUUCCAUGUGUAGCGGUGAAAUGCGUAGAUAUAUGGAGGAACACCAGUGGCGAAGGCGGCUCUCUGGUCUGUAACUGACGCUGAGGCUCGAAAGCGUGGGGAGCAAACAGGAUUAGAUACCCCUGUAGUCCCUGUCUCUUAUAC